rnacentral:rRNA from 1 species
UUUACGGAGAGUUUGAUCCUGGCUCAGGAUGAACGCUGGCGGCGUGCUUAACACAUGCAAGUCGAACGAUGAACCCGAAGCUUGCUUUGGGGGAUUAGUGGCGAACGGGUGAGUAACACGUGAGCAACCUGCCCCUCACUCUGGGAUAAGCGCUGGAAACGGCGUCUAAUACUGGAUACGAGUCGCAACCGCAUGGUUAGCGAUUGGAAAGAUUUUUUGGUGGGGGAUGGGCUCGCGGCCUAUCAGCUUGUUGGUGAGGUAAUGGCUCACCAAGGCGUCGACGGGUAGCCGGCCUGAGAGGGUGACCGGCCACACUGGGACUGAGACACGGCCCAGACUCCU